rnacentral:rRNA from 1 species
CCCUAUGGGGUGCUCGGCACGGCGUCCUUCCCGUUGGCCGCCUGGGUGGGAAUGCGGAUGUACUUCAGACAACGCUGGAGAACUGAUGACAUGUUCCGUGCACGCUCCUUACCUUUCGGAUGCAAGAUAGGCGGCGAGAAGGGCCGCGCUGGCUUCCACCGCCCGGAGGGUGGUCCGCUCGUAGGAAUGGGAUGCGUCCACUCCCGGGCCGAAACAGGCGAAAUUUGCAUCGAAGCCCGCAAUGGCGGCCAGGCUCGCAUCGGAACCAUACCUGUAGUGGGCAUCCACCCGGAAGGGGAUACCGUCCCGGGCCGCGAGGUCCGUGAGGAAUUUCCGGAAUUCGAAGGCGUAGGGGGUCCUGCUGUCCCUGACCACGAUGGUCACCGCGUCCUCCCUGGAAUUGGCGGGGGGGC